GUAGGUGGCAAGCGUUGUCCGGAAUUAUUGGGCGUAAAGCGCGCGCAGGCGGUCCUUUAAGUCUGAUGUGAAAGCCCACGGCUCAACCGUGGAGGGUCAUUGGAAACUGGGGGGACUUGAGUACAGAAGAGGAAAGCGGAAUUCCAAGUGUAGCGGUGAAAUGCGUAGAGAUUUGGAGGAACACCAGUGGCGAAGGCGGCUUUCUGGUCUGUAACUGACGCUGAGGCGCGAAAGCGUGGGGAGCAAACAGGGAUUAGAUACCCUGGUAGUCCACGCCGUAAACGAUGAGUGCUAAGUGUUAGGGGGGUUUCCCGCCCCCCUUAGUGCUCGCAGCUAACGCAUUAAGCACUCCGCCUGGGGAGUACGGCCCGCAAGGCUG
rnacentral:rRNA from 1 species